ensembl:lncRNA
GUGGUCAUGUCUGCUUGUCUUGCUGUCUUUCCACACUGCUGCUGUCAGCUGCUAUCCUCACUGGCUCUCAGCUCAUCAAUGCGGCUUUUGUUCUUCAUAGUUAAUCUUCCUACUGCAUGAAGUGCAGAGCAUAACAGCGGCUGCAACUUUGUAAACACAAAAAGACAAUUGAGGGACAAUGCUGAACAGCGAGUAUAAAUCUUUUUCCUUUCUUUUUUAGUGAUAAGGUGUAUAGAAUGAGGUUGUAAUGAUACUGCAGCAUAUGUUAGUCACUUAUAAUGCCUGGUGGGUUCAUAAUCAGCCUUUGUUCAUGGACAUAUUCAGUACUGAAGUCGCUACUCUAAAAGCGCAGAGAGCACAGUGUGCAGCUGUGGAUCGAAACACGGUCCGACAGGCCCACUCAAGGGAUAUCGAAAGAACCAAAGUUUCAGUGGAUGGUGGAUGUGCACUGAGGCGCAGAGGACACUGGGAACACAAGCUAAGUGCCGUGGAGCUUUGUGACGCUGAUAUGAUGGGAUGGGUUCAGUGAGGCAUAGGGUGGAAGGAGUGCAGGACGAGGUGGCUUUUGGAACAAAGGGCCUGCUCUUCUCGAACAGAGCAUGAAGGCCUCAUUGGACGGGUUCGGGUCUCACUUCAUGGCUGUUGUGUGUUGGAGAUUCACUUCCCAUAAUGAGCAGUUAAUGGGAAAUGAAAGUUUGAUGGAGAAACAAUACCUGUGGCCACAGUGGUGCUUCAGUGAAUCUCAAGAGAACUUCUCCUCAUUGACAUAUCGCAUGUUUUGCAUCUUCCAGGACAGGCUAAUAUAAUUCAGGUGCAAUAACUAGAAUGUAAUGUAAGAAUGUCAGAGACGUCAUGAGCAAAACCUUUUUUUUUUUUUUAAAUUCUGGAUAGUGUCUGAUCAUACUUCCUUGUAUAAUUCUGUAACUGCCAGAAAUAUCAGCACUGCUCUCACUGCCAGUCAGUUCCACUCCCCUAAUCACUGCACAUGUCAUUUUUCAAGAGCUUUACACUGAUAAUACUAUCUCAAACUACAUGAUUAGAUCCAGCUUUGGGUGUUGUGUUUUAUUUUUAAACCACCUGAAACUGCACAAACAUCUAAAAUAUCUUGAGCAUGCAGAAGUGUAAUAUGUGUGUUUGAUUUGUUUUAAAAAAUAAAGUGUAUAUGCACAAGUCAUCAAAUUAUUUAAUUCUCAAAACAUUGAGAAUUAGUAACUGAGUUCCCGUAAUAAGCACGUGUUUAUAAAUACACCAUAGUGUAGUAUCCCCUAAUGUGUGAUAAAAUGAAUUUGCCUUUAUUUAGACAUCAUGUACAAAGCUGAAUUAAGUCAAUCCCUAAAAAGGCUAAUUUUCCAGCCUUUAAGAAAAACCUUCGCUCUGAUUGUGUUUCUAGACAAUGUCAGGAAAGACUGUGGCCUUUAAGCACAAUUAGUCCUGACUCAUUCAAACCAAAACUGUUUCAUAUUCACAAGCAGGAUAUGUGCCAAAUUGUGACUGUUUCUAUUAUACUGCAUUGAGUAUUAGACAUUAUGAUUAGUGGGACUAGGACUAGGUUGAAUAGAAAAUUCAUCAUGUUUUUUUCUUUCUUUCAGUAACAAGAAGUAAUUUCUCUCCAGUGUACAAGACAGUGGAUAUCAAGAGUCCAGUGUACAAGACAGUGGAUAUCAAGUGUGCUGAUACUGUAUGUCUCCACUUUUGCAGUGGUGAUAGGUCAUUUCUAUAUAUUGUUACAGUAAUGAAAAUCAGUAUUCAGUAUUUCCAUGGUAGUAUUUUCUUAUAAUGAUUUUUAUAAUGAUUAGCCUAUUUGACUGAUCACUUGAAUUAAAUGGAUUUUAUCUAAAUCUUAAUAAAAAGUAAAAAAAUAAAAAAAUAAAAAAAUAAACCAUGUUAACUUAGACCUAAUAUGUUCUAUCGAUGGAUUCAGGAAUAAAAUCUCCAGAAUAUUAUUGUACACGUUUGAAUAAUAAACCUAAUAUUAGAAUCAUUCAUAAAAUAAAUGUGAGCAGAAGAGGUUCUUUUUAUCUAUUUAUUUAUUAGAUUUUUUUUAGUUAUAGGGGUUCCUGGCUGUGCUCACGCACAAACGCACACACACACACACACACACACACACACACACACACACACUGCUUAGAACUUGUUUCUAGCAAGUCUAGGUUUCUCUUUCAUGCAUAAGCAUAUCAAACAUAAAGUCAGUUAGAUUUAGGUUUAUUACUCAAAAUGGCAUGCAAAUGAAAAUACAUUUUGACUUCAUUUUUUUUUCUUGAAAAAUAAAAGCAAAAGGGGGUAAAAACUUAAAAAAAAAU